UAUUUAGAAUACCAUUCGACUACUUUUUGCAAAGAAAGAUGUGGUUGCUGGAUAUGGCUUUGUGCUGUGUGUAAAUCUCUCAUUGGUAAUUAUUCACCUGUUGUAGUACAGAGGAAGAGUAACAUAUUUUUCCCUUUGAAUUGUUUCAUGUCUUCAUUCCUGAAUGUAUUCUGGAGUGCAGAGACAUUGUAGAAAGUGCUCUUGAAAUUCUUGGGUGAUGAUAACUACAAUGACUGCCAGGAAAUGACAAAUUCUGGCUAUAAGUACAUAAUAUAUGUACCAUUCUUUUCUCUUUGCGUGAAGAGCUCUGCCUCUCUGUGGAGUCCUCAUUGCCAUUUCUAGAUUUUUUAUUUUUUUUAAUGAAAAUAAAUUAUUUUUAUAUGGUGGAAAUGAUUUGGUUUUUCACUACAUUUUUGUGUGGUGGAUCAUGGAAAUCAGAGAUUUGCUUAAUUAGAAAAAAGGUGAUACAAAAAAAAAAAGGAUAAAAAAAGGAGGAAGAAAACAUUUUCUGUCUGAGCAACUGAGGUUAUCCCUGCAGCGAAGAAAAAAAGAGAAGGAUGAAGUUACUUUAUCACACGAGGACUGGAUUUUCUUAAGAACCUGGAAGUGUAAACUAAUCCUGGACAGUGAAUCAAAAGAACACAAGAAGGCCUUAGCAAUGAGAACCAACGACUUUCAAUUACCUUGACACUUCCAACAAGUUCAGAGCCAAGUCUAUGAUGAACUGUCAGCCAGUAUAAAACAGAAGAAGGGCAGAUUUUACAGUUGCUGUGGAUGCCUGAUAUCAGCUCCUCUGGAAACAUUCAAGGAUAUUUUUGGUUCAAGAUUAAGGAGUCACUAGAUAAAUUAUUAACCAACUGAAUCCUACUUAUUUUAUGUAUAUUAGAAAACUGCACUAUUGAAACAAUAUUCUGCACUCAGGGCUGUCAGUGGAUAUUCACACAUUGCUCUUAAUGUGUUGUUUCUUUCCUAAAGCAAAAUUAGUUUAGAUGUUUUAAACAUGAACCCGAUUUUGCAUCUUCAUUUGCAGCAUUUUUUUCCCCAAUAUUGACAGGAUGUGAAUUUUCUUUCUACAGUGAAGCUGCAGGCCUGGAUUCUUGGUCUUUAGCUAUGCUACCAUACAAAAUAUGUCAUUAUAUUGGUCUAAAAAUUUAAUAAAAAAGCCACCCUUGAUUUGAGCCUAUGCAGACCACUUGCAACA